GGUCGAUGAUGAUUGGUAAAAGGUCUGAUUGCACUUGAUGCCACAGUCCCUUUCUUGCCCUCAGCUCCCAGCAGCCCAUUUUUUCCUCCUGUCACAUUUAAGUCGUGUGCAUGGGACAAAGGGGCGGCUGAUAAUUGGGAUUCUGUCAGGGUGUGCUUCUCAGAGUGGACAGUCACAGCUGACAACUAUCCUACAGAACCAGCCAUCAGGAGGUUGACGAGGGCAGCCAUGGGUGUGGCAGUGCAUGAUCUCAAGUUUUCAAUCUGAGACC